rnacentral:rRNA from 2 species
GACGGAGCAAAGCCGCGUGAACGAUGAAGGCCUUCGGGUCGUAAAGUUCUGUUGUUAGGGAAGAACAAGUACCAGAGUAACUGCUGGUACCUUGACGGUACCUAACCUGAAAGCCACGGCUAACUACGUGCCAGCAGCCGCGGUAAUACGUAGGUGGCAAGCGUUGUCCGGAAUUAUUGGGCGUAAAGCGCGCGCAGGUGGUUUCUUAAGUCUGAUGUGAAAGCCCUGGGCUCAACCCAGGAGGGUCAUUGGAAACUGGGGAACUUGAGUGCAGAAGAGGAAAGUGGAAUUCCAAGUGUAGCGGUGAAAUGCGUAGAGAUUUGGAGGAACACCAGUGGCGAAGGGCACUUUCUGGUCUGUAACUGACACUGAGGCGCGAAAGCGUGGGUAGCGAACAGGAUUAGAUACCCUGGUAGUCCACGC